rnacentral:rRNA from 1 species
UACGAAGGGGGCUAGCGUUGUUCGGAAUUACUGGGCGUAAAGGGCGCGUAGGCGGCGUGUCAAGUCAGGCGUGAAAGCCCCGGGCUCAACCUGGGAACCGCGCUUGAGACUGGCAUGCUCGAGUUCGGGAGAGGAUGGUGGAAUUCCCAGUGUAGAGGUGAAAUUCGUAGAUAUUGGGAAGAACACCGAUGGCGAAGGCAGCUAGCUAGACCGACAUUGACGCUGAGGCACGAAAGCGUGGGGAUCAAACAGG